rnacentral:rRNA from 1 species
GACAGAGGUGCCGAGCGUUAGGCGGAAUCACUGGGCUUAAAGCGUGUGUAGGCGGGCGGGCAAGUACCUUGUGAAAUCCCACGGCUCAACCGUGGAACUGCUGGGUAUACUGCCUGUCUUGAGUCAUCUAGGGGCGAGCGGAACAAAUGGUGGAGCGGUGAAAUGCGUAGAUAUCAUUUGGAACGCCAAUGGUGAAAACAGCUCGCUGGGGGUGCACUGACACUGAGACACGUAAGCCAGGGGAGCGAACGGG